GGACUACCGGGGUUUCUAAUCCUGUUUGCUCCCCUUGCUCUCGCGCCUCAGCGUCAGGUAUAAACUAGAAAACCGCUUUCGCCACAGGUGUUCUUCCACAUAUCUACGCAUUUCACCGCUACACGUGGAAUUCCGUUUUCUCCGUCAAUCCUCUAGAAAAAUAGUUUCAAAUGCAGCUCCGAAGUUGAGCUUCGGAAUUUCACAUCUGACUUGUUCUCCCGCCUACGCGCCCUUUACGCCCAAUUAUUCCGAUUAAUGCUUGCACUCUCCGUAUUACCGCGGCUGCUGGCAC
rnacentral:rRNA from 1 species